rnacentral:rRNA from 1 species
GAUGAACGCUGGCGGCGUGCCUAACACAUGCAAGUCGAACGGAAUUACAUGAAGCCUAGCGAUUGUAAAUUUAGUGGCGGACGGGUGAGUAACGCGUGGGUAACCUGCCUUGUACUGGGGGACAACAGUUGGAAACGACUGCUAAUACCGCAUAAGCGCACAGCUUCGCAUGAAGCAGUGUGAAAAACUCCGGUGGUACAAGAUGGACCCGCGUCUGAUUAGCUGGUUGGUGAGGUAACGGCCCACCAAGGCGACGAUCAGUAGCCGGCCUGAGAGGGUGAACGGCCACAUUGGGACUGAGACACGGCCCAAACUCCUACGGGAGGCAGCAGUGGGGAAUAUUGCACAAUGGGGGAAACCCUGAUGCAGCAACGCCGCGUGAGUGAAGAAGUAUUUCGGUACGUAAAGCUCUAUCAGCAGGAAAGAAAAUGACGGUACCUGACUAAGAAGCCCCGGCUAACUACGUGCCAGCAGCCGCGGUAAUACGUAGGGGGCAAGCGUUAUCCGGAUUUACUGGGUGUAAAGGGAGCGUAGACGGUUUUGCAAGUCUGAAGUGA